rnacentral:rRNA from 1 species
CCUACGGGUGACUGCAGUGAGGAAUAUUGGUCAAUGGGCGCGAGCCUGAACCAGCCAAGUAGCGUGAAGGAUGACUGCCCUACGGGUUGUAAACUUCUUUUAUAAAGGAAUAAAGUGCGGCACGUGUGCCUUUUUGUAUGUACUUUAUGAAUAAGGAUCGGCUAACUCCGUGCCAGCAGCCGCGGUAAUACGGAGGAUCCGAGCGUUAUCCGGAUUUAUUGGGUUUAAAGGGAGCGUAGAUGGGUUGUUAAGUCAGUUGUGAAAGUUUGCGGCUCAACCGCAAAAUUGCAAUUGAUACUGGCAGCCUUGAGUACAGUUGAGGUAGGCGGAAUGCGUGGUGUAGCGGUGAAAUGCUUAGAUAUCACGAAGAACUCCGAUUGCGAAGGCAGCUUACUAAAGUGCAACUGACAUUGAUGCUCGAAAGUGUGGGUAUCAAACAGGAUUAGAUACCCUUGUAGUC